rnacentral:rRNA from 1 species
GUGAAAUUCCGUCGGAAUCUGGGAGGACCAUCUCCUAAGGCUAAAUACUCUCUAGUGACCGAUAGUGAACCAGUACCGUGAGGGAAAGGUGAAAAGUACCCCGGAAGGGGAGUGAAAGAGAACUUGAAACCGUGUGCUUACAAGUAGUCAGAGCCCGUUAAUGGGUGAUGGCGUGCCUUUUGUAGAAUGAACCGGCGAGUUACGAUCUGAUGCAAGGUUAAGCAGAAAAUGUGGAGCCGUAGCGAAAGCGAGUCUGAAUAGGGCGAAUGAGUAUUUGGUCGUAGACCCGAAACCAGGUGAUCUACCCUUGGUCAGGUUGAAGUUCAGGUAACACUGAAUGGAGGACCGAACCGACUUACGUUGAAAAGUGAGCGGAUGAACUGAGGGUAGCGGAGAAAUUCCAAUCGAACUUGGAGAUAGCUGGUUCUCUCCGAAAUAGCUUUAGGGCUAGCCUCAAGUGAUGAUUAUUGGAGGUAGAGCACUGUUUGGACGAGGGGCCCCUCUCGGGUUACCGAAUUCAGACAAACUCCGAAUGCCAAAUAAUUUAACUUGGGAGUCAGAAUGUGGGUGAUAAGGUCCAUAUUCGAAAGGGAAACAGCCCAGACCACCAGCUAAGGUCCCAAAAUAUAUGUUAAGUGGAAAAGGAUGUGGCGUUGCCCAGACAACUAGGAUGUUGGCUUAGAAGCAGCCAUCAUUUAAAGAGUGCGUAAUAGCUCACUAGUCGAGUGACACUGCGCCGAAAAUGUACCGGGGCUAAACAUAUUACCGAAGCUGUGGAUUGUCCUUUGGACAAUGGUAGGAGAGCGUUCUAAGGGCGUUGAAGCAUGAUCGCAAGGACAUGUGGAGCGCUUAGAAGUGAGAAUGCCGGUGUGAGUAGCGAAAGACGGGUGAGAAUCCCGUCCACCGAUUGACUAAGGUUUCCAGAGGAAGGCUCGUCCGCUCUGGGUUAGUCGGGUCCUAAGCUGAGGCCGACAGGCGUAGGCGAUGGAUAACAGGUUGAUAUUCCUGUACCACCAUUAUUCGUUUUAAGCGA